AAGGGAGACCUAAUUCGGGUAUAAGACGAAAAAAUAGUAGUCGAAGCCAAGAAUCAAUCCCAAAAGGUCGGAACGAGGUAUGUGGCUUUCAAACUAGGUUCUGGGUUCAUAAAAGACCUGAGCCAGGAACAAGGGCUAUUAGCUCAGGUGGUUAGGGCGCACCCCUGAUAAGGGUGAGGUCCCUGGUUCGAGUCCAGGAUGGCCCACCUGCACAGGUGGUAAAAACAAGAGAAGCGAGGAAUCAGCACCUUAUCUUACUUACAUAGUAAGAGAGAAUGCUGGCUCUGAGUAAAGAGUCCAGAGGAACCUCGAAAACUGCAUAGAGCUAGGUGAAAAAGCCAAAGAAGAAGACCGCAA
rnacentral:tRNA from 1 species